rnacentral:rRNA from 1 species
GGCGGACGGGUGAGUAAUGCUUGGGAACUUGCCUCUACGAGGGGGAUAACCCAUUGGAAACGAUGGCUAAUACCGCAUAAUAACUGAGGUUCAAAGUGGGGUUUCGGCCUCGCGCGUAGAGAGAGGCCCAAGUGAGAUUAGCUAGUUGGUGAGGUAAAGGCUCACCAAGGCGACGAUCUCUAGCUGUUCUGAGAGGAAGAUCAGCCACACUGGGACUGAGACACGGCCCAGACUCCUACGGGAGGCAGCAGUGGGGAAUAUUGCACAAUGGGGGGAACCCUGAUGCAGCCAUGCCGCGUGUGUGAAGAAGGCCUUCGGGUUGUAAAGCACUUUAAAGAUGUGAGGAAAGCAAUAUUGCUAAUACCAAUAUUGUGUGACGUUAACAACAGAAGAAGCACCGGCUAACUCCGUGCCAGCAGCCGCGGUAAUACGGAGGGUGCGAGCGUUAAUCGGAAUUACUGGGCGUAAAGCGCACGCAGGCGGUCUGUUAAGCUAGAAGUGAAAGCCCUGCGCUCAACGUGGGAAGGCCUUUUAGAACUGGCAGACUAGAGUAACGGAGAGGGGAGUGGAAUUCCAGGUGUAGCGGUGAAAUUCGUUGAGGGGCUGGAGGAACACCGGUGGCGAAGGCGACUCCCUGGCCAAAGACUGACGCUCAUGUGCGAAAGUGUGGGUAGCGAACAGGAUUAGAUACCCUGGUAGUCCACACCGUAAACGCUGUUUUCUAGCUGUGUGUGUAUUUUAUACGUGCGUAGCGAAGCUAACGCGCU